rnacentral:rRNA from 1 species
UACGUAGGGGGCAAGCGUUGUUCGGAAUGACUGGGCGUAAAGGGUGCGUAGGCGGCGAGUUAAGUCAGCGGUAAAAGCCCGGGGCUCAACCCCGGCCCGCCGUUGAAACUGGCAGUCUCGAGUUGGAGAGAAGUAUGCGGAAUGCGCGGUGUAGCGGUGAAAUGCAUAGAUAUCACACAGAACACCGAUUGCGAAGGCAUCUCACGAAUCCGCGAUUGACGCUGAUGCACGAAAGCGUGGGUAUCAAACAGG